rnacentral:misc_RNA from 1 species
ACCCAAAAAAAUGACAAAACGUAAUCCGCAGCUCAAUCGCAGAUCAAGAUAAUCGAUUCGCACAAAAUCAAGAAAAAUUAAACCUCAAAAUCCAAAUCGGUUGCAUGCAACACAUAAAAAUCAAAAACAAACAUAUCAAACAAACACAUCAAUAACAAAAAUGACAGGAAAUUAUUUAGAUUGGACGCAAAUAUUAGGGAUCAAGAACA